UACGUAGGUGGCAAGCGUUGUCCGGAAUUAUUGGGCGUAAAGCGCGCGCAGGCGGCCUCGCGCGCCCGACGUGAAAGCCCCCGGCUUAACCGGGGAGGGUCGUUGGGGACGGCGGGGCUUGAGGGCGGGAGAGGGUGGUGGAAUUCCCGGUGUAGUGGUGAAAUGCGUAGAGAUCGGGAGGAACACCCGUGGCGAAGGCGGCCACCUGGGCCGACCCUGACGCUGAGGCGCGAAGGCGUGGGGAGCGAACGGG
rnacentral:rRNA from 1 species